rnacentral:pre_miRNA from 1 species
AGUGGGAAAGCUGGGUCAAAUGGUGGUUCCAUUCCUAAUUUUCUGAGAAAUCUCCAUGCUGCUUUCCAUAGUGGUUGCACCAAUUGCAGUCCCACCAGCAGU